rnacentral:rRNA from 1 species
UCCAGACUCCUACGGGAGGCAGCAGUGGGGGAUAUUGCACAAUGGGGGAAACCCUGAUGCAGCAACGCCGCGUGAGUGAAGAAGUAUUUCGGUAUGUAAAGCUCUAUCAGCAGGGAAGAGAAUGACGGUACCUGACUAAGAAGCCCCGGCUAACUACGUGCCAGCAGCCGCGGUAAUACGUAGGGGGCGAGCGUUAUCCGGAUUUACUGGGUGUAAAGGGAGCGUAGACGGCUGGUCAAGUCUGAAGUGAAAGCCCGGGGCUUAACCCCGGAACGGCUUUGGAAACUGAGCAGCUAGAGUGCUGGAGAGGUAAGCGGAAUCCCUAGUGUAGCGGUGAAAUGCGUAGAUAUUAGGAGGAACGCCAGUGGCGAAGGCGGCUUACUGGACAGUAACUGACGUUGAGGCUCGAAAGCGUGGGGAGCAAACAGGAUUAGAUACCCCAGUA